rnacentral:rRNA from 1 species
AUGAUGUUAACCUUAGAUGACUUCCUUGUGGAGUUAGCCUCGAUGUGUGCUCACACGCAAGUCCCCUAUAUAGUGGGUGGUGAUUUCAAUAUCCUUAGAGAAAACUGUGAGAAGAACAAAACCAUGAACCGAUCCCCUUAUAUGGAUAAGUUCAACUCCAUCAUAGAUUCUCUAAGCCUUCGGGAGAUAUACAUGGGAGGGGGCAAAUACACAUGGACUAAUAAUCAAAAGCACCCCACCCUGGAGAAACUUUAUAGAAUUUUGAUGAGUUUUGAUUGGGAGGACUUGUUCCCUUUGGUUACAGUUCAUAAACUGGUUAGAGAUGUUUCCGACCACAACCCACUCCUCUUGUCCUCGGGGACGAAGAAAAUGGAUACCUCCCUCCAACAUCUGUUCAAAUUUGAGCUCAACUGA